UUCUGGUUGAUCCCGCCGGAGGCUACCGCUAUUGGAGUUCGAUUAAGCCAUGCGAGUCGCGAGUCCUAGGGACUCGGCGUACCGCUCAGUAACACGUGGGUAACCUGCCCUAUGCUGGGGGAUAACCUCGGGAAACUGAGAAUAAUACCCCAUAGUUCACCACGCCUGGAACGGUGGGUGGAUGAAAGCUCCGGCGGCAUAGGAUGGGCCUGCGGCGUAUCAGGUUGUAGGGGGUGUAAUGUACCCUCUAGCCAUCUACGCGUACGGGUGUUGAGAGACAUCGCCCGGAGAUGGAUUCUGAGACACGAAUCCAGACCCUACGGGGUGCAGCAGGCGCGAAAACUUGGCAAUGCGAGCAAUCGUGACCAGGGAACUCCAAGUGCAUCGGGUAAGACCGAUGCUUUUCUUGACUCUUCAAAGGUCUUGGAAUAAGGGGUGGGUAAGGACGGUGCCAGCCGCCGCGGUAAUACCGGCGCCUCAAGUGGUAGUCGCUUUUAUUGGGCCUAAAACGUCCGUAGCCGGUUUGGUACAUUCGUGGGUAAAUCAAGGCGCUCAACGUCUUGAAUUCUGCGAGCACGGCCAGACUUGGGACCGGGUGAGGUGUGGGGUACUCUCAGGGUAGGGGUAAAAUCCUGUCAUCCUGAGAGGACCACCUGUUGCGAAGGCGCCACACUAGAACGGAUCCGACGGUCAGGGACGAAGCCUAGGGGCACGAACCGGAUUAGAUACCCGGGUAGUCCUAGGUGUAAACGCUGUGGACUUGAUGUUGGGAGUGCUCCGAGCACCCUCAGUGUCGAAGCGAAGGUGAUAAGUCCACUGCCUGGGGAGUACGGUCGCAAGGCUGAAACUUAAAGGAAUUGGCGGGGGAGCACUGCAACCUGAGGAUUGUGCGGUUUAAUUGGAUUCAACGCCGGG
rnacentral:rRNA from 1 species